CCUACGGGAGGCUGCAGUGAGGAAUAUUGGUCAAUGGUCGGGAGACUGAACCAGCCAAGCCGCGUGAGGGAGGAAGGUACAGAGUAUCGUAAACCUCUUUUGUCAGGGAACAAAGGCGGGGCCGUGUCCCCGGCUGAGUGUACCUGAAGAAAAAGCAUCGGCUAACUCCGUGCCAGCAGCCGCGGUCAUACGGAGGAUGCGAGCGUUAUCCGGGUUUAUUGGGUUUAAGGGGUGCGCAGGCGGUCUGGUAAGUCAGCGGUCAAAGCCCGGGGCUCAACCCCGGCCCGCCGUUGAAACUGGCAGUCUCGAGUUGGAGAGAAGUAUGCGGAAUGCGCGGUGUAGCGGUGAAAUGCAUAGAUAUCGCGCAGAACUCCGAUUGCGAAGGCAGCAUGCCGGCUCCACACUGACGCUGAGGCACGAAAGCGUGGGUAUCGAACAGGAUUAGAUACCCGAGUAGUC
rnacentral:rRNA from 1 species